CCAAUAGCGUAUAUUAGUGUUGUUGCGGUUAAAAAGCUCGUAGUUGAAUUUCGGGAUUGGGAUAUAUCGGUCAUGCCUUUAGGGGCAUGAAUCGGUGUGUAGCCAAUUUCUCACCUUCUGGUGAAUUGGGAUGCUCUUGGGUGUUUCAAUGAACUAGGACUUUUACUUUGAAAAAAAUAUAGUGUUUAAAGCGGGCAUUUUUGCUUGAAUACAUUAGCAUGGAAUAAUAAAAUAGGACGAUGGUUCUAUUUUGUUGGUUUUAGGACCACGUAAUGAUUAAUAGGGAUAGUUGGGGGCAUUAGUAUUCAAUAGUCAGAGGUGAAAUUCUUGGAUUUAUUGAGGACUAACUACUGCGAAAGCAUUUGCCAAGGAUGUUUUCAUUAAUCAAGAACGAAAGUUAGGGGAUCGAAGACGAUUUAUGUACGUCGUAGUCUUAACCACAAACUAUGCCGACUAGGAAUCAGACAAAGUUCAUUUUUUAACGACUUGUUUGGUACCUUAUG
rnacentral:misc_RNA from 1 species